GGGAUGGAUGGAUGGAGGGAUGGAUGGAGGGAUGGAAGGAUGGAGGGAUGGAUGGAGGGAUGGAUGGAUGGAGGGAUGGAUGAUGGAUGGAGGGAUGGAUGGAGGGAUGGAUGGAGGGAUGGAGGGAGGGAUGGAUGGAGGGAUGGAUGGAUGGAGGGAUGGAUGGAGGGAUGGAUGAUGGAUGGAGGGAUGGAGGGAGGGAUGGAUGGAGGGAUGGAUGGAGGGAUGGAGGGAGGGAUGGAUGAUGGAUGAUGGAGGGAUGGAUGGAUGGAUGGAUGAUGGAUGGAGGGAUGGAUGAUGGAUGGAGGGAUGGAGGGAUGGAGGGAGGGAUGGAUGAUGGAUGAUGGAGGGAUGGAUGGAUGGAUGGAUGAUGGAUGGAGGGAUGGAUGGAGGGAUGGAUGAUGGAUGGAGGGAUGGAUGGAGGGAUGGAGGGAUGGAGGGAGGGAUGGAUGAUGGAUGAUGGAGGGAUGGAUGGAGGGAUGAUGGAUGGAUGGAUGGAUGAUGGAUGGAUGGAGGGAUGGAUGGAGGGAUGGAGGGAUGGAUAAUGGAUGGAUGAUGGAGGGAUGGAUGGAUGGAUGGAUGAUGGAUGGAGGGAUGGAUGGAUGGAUGGAUGAUGGAGGGAGGGAUGGAUGAUGGAUGGAGGGAUGGAGGGAUGGAUGAUGGAUGAUGGAUAAUGGAUGGAUGAUGGAUGGAUGGAGGGAUGGGGUCAACGUGGAUAACUGGACGUAUAAACGACUCCUUCACUGAGUAAACUGUAUGAUUCAUAUUGAUCAGUAUCAGUAACAGCAGAGAACAGCUGAUCAAUGAAACCAAACAGUGAACUCAUUGAUCAGAGAUGACUUUAUUAAUAUAUUGAUCCAUUCUCUCUAUUCUGUAUUUUUAUCAUUUUAACAAUCAGACUUAAUAUUCUUCUUUCUGACAGAUUCUCUGAUAAAAGUGAAAUCCUCUCCAGUUCUGAGCAGCUAGCAGCAGCACUGCGUCUUUAAAAAUACUAUAUAACCAGAGCCGGUGCACCGAGAGCCUGGCCUCUCCCCAUAAGGUCCCAUUGUACCGAAUACUGGUUGCAGUAGCCUGGCCUCUCCCCAUAAAGUCCCAUUGUACCGAAUACUGGUUGCAGUUCCAGCAGAGGUCCACUGGGGGCGCUCUCCCAUCAGUGCAGAAUGAAUGGGAGCAGAUGGAGCUAGACGGCUACAUUUGUCUCUUUCACCUGAUUGUGGUUGAGAGAUCUCAGAUGUGAUUGUAGUUUUUAAAGUUCAACAUGGGUUAUAGGUCGAAAGCUGAAUGAACGAGUUCUGAUGUCCUUUAGAUUUCUUACAGGACGAGUUGUUGUUGCCCAUAACGCGCUAGCAUUCUGCUAAUGAACGCUGAUUGGUCAGUGAAGGACUGAUUACGACCAGAGAUCCCGCUUGAUGGCAUCGUGGCAUCCGAAGCGGGAAUAUGAAUAUUUUGGCGUGGUGUUUAAAACAGCAAAACAAAAACAAAGCACAAAGAGACUCGAGGCUCGCCGUAAAGCGGUAUCUCUGGCCGUACAAUGUGUGUGACGUCACUGACAUUUUAAAAGACUUUUUAAAGAAAAUAAGUGACUCUAACAAAUCCAACUCUUCCUCACAGGUUAGUUAAUGACAGACAGUCAGUGAGUGUGUCUGUGUCCAACUCUUCCUCACAGGUUAGUUAAUGACAGACAGUCAGUGAGUGUGUCUGUGUCCAACUCUUCCUCACAGGUUAGUUAAUGACAGACAGUCAGUGAGUGUGUCUGUGUCCAACUCUUCCUCACAGGUUAGUUAAUGACAGACAGUCAGUGAGUGUGUCUGUGUCCAACUCUUCCUCACAGGUUAGUUAAUGAUGUUACUGAGUCAAUGUGAGCAGAUUGUGUCUGUAGAUUGAAGAGAAUCAGAGUCUCACUGAUGGUGGAAAUAAAGGUUUUACUUCCUUAAAACA